UGCAUUUGUGUGCUGAAAGAGCCUUCGUUGACCUAGGCCCCCUCUUGCCCGGGUGGGGGCGCAGUGCUGGGAAUGCUCUUAGAUAUCUUAAUGGGUUAUGUGCACCUAGGCUAUUGCAAAGCCCAAUUUAUUCAUUAUUUUUUGCAUUUUGCAUUUUUUAUUGGUAUUUACAUAGGUAUGUGUCUUUUAAAGGUAUGUAGAACCUCAAAGGGAAAAGUCUAUCAUUUCCAUUUUUUUCAUAUUCGUGCAUGUUUUUUUAUUUUUUUAUACUCGAAAACCCUCAAU
rnacentral:lncRNA from 1 species